rnacentral:rRNA from 1 species
UACGGAGGAUCCAGGCGUUAUCCGGAUUUAUUGGGUUUAAAGGGUGCGUAGGCGGCCUAUUAAGUCAGGGGUGAAAGACGGUAGCUUAACUAUCGCAGUGCCUUUGAUACUGAUGGGCUUGAAUACACUAGAGGUAGGCGGAAUGUGACAAGUAGCGGUGAAAUGCAUAGAUAUGUCACAGAACACCAAUUGCGAAGGCAGCUUACUAUGGUGCAAUUGACGCUGAGGCACGAAAGCGUGGGGAUCAAACAGG